rnacentral:rRNA from 1 species
GCAGUGCCCCUUGAUACUGAAGAGCUUGAAUACAUUAGAGGUAGGGCGGAAUGUGACAAGUAGCGGUGAAAUGCAUAGAUAUGUCACAGAACACCGAUUGCGAAGGCAGCUUACUAUGAUGAGAUUGACGCUGAGGCACGAAAGCGUGGGGAUCAAACAGGAUUAGAUACCCUGGUAGUCCACGCCCUAAACGAUGAAUACUCGCUGUUAGCGAUACACAGUUAGCGGCUAAGCGAAAGCGUUAAGUAUUCCACCUGGGGAGUACGGUCGCAAGAUUGAAACUCAAAGGAAUUGACGGGGGCCCGCACAAGCGGAGGAGCAUGUGGUUUAAUUCGAUGAUACGCGAGGAACCUUACCCGGGCUUGAAAGUUAGUGAAUCAUUUAGAGAUAGAUGAGUGAGCAAUCACACGAAACUAGGUGCUGCAUGGCUGUCGUCAGCUCGUGCCGUGAGGUGUUGGGUUAAGUCCCGCAACGAGCGCAACCCCUAUGUUUAGUUGCCAGCACGUUAAGGUGGGGACUCUAAACAGACUGCCUGUGCAAACAGAGAGGAAGGAGGGGACGACGUCAAGUCAUCAUGGCCCUUACGUCCGGGGCUACACACGUGCUACAAUGGAUGGUACAGAGGGCAGCAAGCUGGCAACAGCAAGCGAAUCUCCAAAAGCCAUUCACAGUUCGGAUAGAGGUCUGCAACUCGACCUCUUGAAGUUGGAUUCGCUAGUAAUCGCAUAUCAGCAAUGAUGCGGUGAAUACGUUCCCGGGCCUUGUAC